CAGAUCCUCCCCUUCUUCCUUGCCUCCGGUCUUCCAUCUCCUUUUUCUCCCCUACUUAUAUAGUAAGCAUGCACGUGCUGAAACAAAAUGAGUUCACAUGGUAUAAUACUAAAAUAAAUUUUACAAAAAAAUUCGAAUGGCUAAAAAAUGUUAUGAUGUCACUCAAAUUGUAUUUUUAAAAGUGUGGCAUAUUUGUGAUCCAACACACGUAUAUAAUCUAUAGUAAAAAUAUCUAUUAUAAAUCUAAUUUUUAUUUUAGUGAAUUUUUUACCGAGCCAUUUAAAUGUGUCUAAUGCCCAAUGAUUAUGAGCGCGCGUGUAACACAUGAUUCAGAAAUAUGUCUCCGCAUAAAAUUAACGGUCACAUAAUAAUUGUAUUAUAAUUGUUACAAAAAAUAUAUUUAAAACCAGAACUAAGCAUCUCUUGAAGGUCCAUCGUCUUUUGAAGCAAUGAAGGUCCAUCUAUAGAUGUGAUCUAUGAUGCUUCGUUCAAUGGAUGGGAUAUUGUUUUGAGCUUCAUUCUCUUCACACUUUAGAAUAUGCACCAAAAAUUGCUUUCUCGGUUGAAAACCAUCCUACAUAUGCAUUAUACAACAUUUUGUUAUAACAAGUUGCAUGUGCAAUGUGUAUACUAUAAGCUUGGUGUAAACACUCACGGUAUGGGAAAAUAUAGUUUUUCAUCGCACAAUGACUACAUGAAAUUAAAAACCAAAUAACGCGACUGGGCACUGCAUGUAUGAAAUAAAGACAUGAUGUGCUUUGAAUGAAUAGAUAAAUAUUGUAAUGCAUUAUAAAGAUUCAUGCCAGUGUGAGUUUGUUGGAGAAACAUGAACUGUGCAUUCCCAUUUAGAGAUGAGAAAAUUCCUUAUUUGACACUAUCUUAAAAUUUGCUUCCUUAUUUGACACUGAAAAAAAAUUUCUUCCCUGUUUGACACAAGUUCUAAAUUUUAUUCCCUAUAUGACAUUUCCGUUCAUUUUGAGCCUAAAUGACAUCUAAAAAGACUCUUUUGCCCCUCAUAUGGUAUGUGUGUGGGGGGCAAUAACGCACACACGCAGCACCAGUGCGAGGGCAGGAGCACACACGCAGCAACACAUACACAUUGACCAACACACACACGCACGCACGCGCAUACACACGCAACAACACGCACGCGCACGUGCACACACGCGCACACACACACACACAGCAACACACAUGCACGCGCGCACACACGCAGCAGCAACAGCACACACGCAGGCAGCACAUAGGCAUGCAACAGCACACACACGCGCACGUACACACGCAGCGGCACACAUGCACACACACAUGCAGCAGCAGCACACAUGUGCGCGUGCAUCCACACAAGCAACAGCACACACAUACCGCAUGGGGGCAAAAUCGUCUUUUCAGGUGUCAUUUAGGCUUAAAAUGGACGAAAGUGUCGUAUAGGGAAUAAAAUUUAGGACUAGUGUCAAAUAGGGAAGAAAAACUUUUCCAGUGUCAAAUAAGAAACCAGAUUUUAAGACAGUGUCAAAUAAGGAAUUUUCUCUUUAGAGAUAUCGACCUUGAAUGCAGGUUUUGGAGCUUCAAGCGCACUAUUUAGGUUGCCGACCAUGGUUUUAAGUAGGUAUUGAUAUGGAUAAAAAGUUGAGACAACCAUACCAAUGAACAAGCAAAGUUCAUCUGUCAAGUCAUCGUUUGUUGGAUUGACAUAUGAUGAAAGGAUAAAUGACUGCUAGAUGAGCUCAACUUCUGGUGAUGGAUAGGAUGUUUUGAAAUUCUCAGGGGGUUUAUGGUGAAUCAUACAUUCAAUAAGUAUAAUGAUGCACAGUGAAAAAUACAUGUGUAAGAGUGUUAGACAAAAUAUCCCAUGUGAAGUACUCCAUAAAAUUUACCAUCUACGGACCAUAAGAUGACCUGCAUAAUUGCAAAACUUAGAUAUACUCAAUAAAGUUUAUCAUUUUUAUAGAGAUUUAUAUUUUUUAAAUUUAAAAUCAUCAAAUGAUCAUGACUGUAACAAAACGUGACGAAAACAAAAAUCUCACCCACGCAGGUGAACCAGACAUGCCCUAAGAAAUAUUUCUUCCGUUGCUAAAUAUAAGUCAUUUUAGAAAUAUGGGCUACAUAUGGAUAAAUAUAGGCGUAUUUUAGAGUGAUGUGGUCCAUAUUAGAAUAUCUAAAAGACUUGUAUUUAGGAAUAGAGAGUAUAAUGGUUUUUCUUAGAAGAUAGGAGUAUAUUUUUUGGUUUGGACAAUGCCGCACUCACUCACCAUCACUGAGGGGAUCACUGUCUUAUUAUACCACGUAUAGUAUAGAGAUAAAAAAAUCAGUCAACCUUCCACCGCCCCUCACACUUCUUUCAGUCUCUCUUCCCCAUUCUCCCCCUGACUCCCUCGUUCCUUAUCUACAACGCGAUCCCCAUCCAUGGUCGGAGCUAUCUGGUGGCCGCCCCUCCCCUUCUUCAGCAACGCCGGCGGACGCACAAGCCCCUCCCCUUCGUCAGCACUACCGGCGGACCUAUCCGGUGACGCUGGGGUCUACAUCCUCCUGGCGAUGCCGGGGCGCUCGAGCUCGGCAUGCUCGCCGGCGACGCCGGGGCCCUCCCUCCUGCCGAUGCACGUUGCUCGCCGCCACGAACUUCCCUCCCCCCUGCUCGGGACGCCAUCAAGGAUGACCAUGAAGACCUCCGCGUGCUUUGCUGCUGCUCGGGACCCUCCCUAUGCUUCUCCUCGCCCGCCGCCUGCUCCUCCCCGUCAAAUCGCUAUAUAGCCUCACUGUGUGAAAUGUUCGGCCCAUAGGAUUAGCUGCUCAGGGGCCAUGGCGUGUUCCGUGCGGCACUGCCUUCGCCACCGCAGUUGCCGCCUAGUUGUGUCUGGUGCAUCGCAGCAGCCAACGGGGCCGGGAAGGUCCAAGACACUGUAGGUCCCUGCAGCCUGCUCGCCAACUUGCAGGAGGCUGUUAAUCGUUUGGUAAAAAAGAAUACGAGAAGGAGGUGCCGAAAGGGGAUGGGAGCAACAAGUUUGAAUCGAAAGAGGGAUGACCUGCAUGAGUACACAUCGAGGAGCAAGAGAAUCAAAUACGACAUCCUUCGUGCAAUGGCCAAGCUGUUGGAGCUUGAUGAACAUAGCCUAGUUCACCAGUUUAGCGACAGGGCUCUCACUUAUGCUAGAUUCAACUACUAUCCUCCGUGUCCAAGUUUCUCAGAGAUGGAACGUGGUACAAUGUUCCAACUGUGUCUAACUACACCUUGCUGAUCAACGUUGGUGUUACAAUGGAGAUAAUGACCAACGGGAUAUUUAAAGGGCCAGUACAUAGGGUUGUAACCAAUUCUGAGAAAGAGAGAAUCUCAGUGGCCGUGUUCUAUGUUUUGGAUCCUGAAAACGCGAUUUGGCUGAUAACUCAGAUGUUGAAUGAGGACCAACAGGCGAGAUAGAAGAAAAUGGAGGUCAAGGAUUUCUCUCGAGGAGAAAGAGUCUUCGAUUCGUUAAGGAUAUGAUCAAGGACACUCCCCUUGACAAUGCAACAUAUAGCUGACCAUGUGACAAUACUGGCUCGGGAAGGAAAGACUGGCGCGAUGUACCAUUCCUCUGCCCUAGUAUGCUAGAAUGGUGUGCACUUUUACAAUCUGAAUGGAAAGAAUUACAGCUGGUCCAGAGGCCGUGCAGGGCGGGGGCGGCCGCGCGGGUGCCCGGCGGGUUCCUGGGCAGGGGCGAUCUGGCGGACUUGUGCGACGCUGCGAGGGGGCAGGGCAGCCUCCUGGGCGCCCGCUACAUCGAUCGUGCAGGGAGGCGACUGCCCGGUGGAGUGGCGCGAGGUCGCCGUGCAGGAAGACGGUGUUGGCGCUAUGGUGACGCAAGGCAGAGAUGCUCCUGGGCGAGGGGAGGCAGAUUCCUUCCUUAUCUGCGAUCAGAAUUGCGUGAUUGUCGAAGGACGUGGGACUGGUAGAUUCAGAUCUGUGGGACUAAUCGUGCGGUGGUGAAUGAGUUGUCUGGUGUUGUGGGGGUAAUUGUGGGGUGCAUCUAAGAAAGUUCUUGUUGAAUUGUUUAAUAGUAGUGGAGAUAACUGGUGCCGCAGAAGCGCAAGGCCCCGGGGCCCGGCGAGCUCCGGCGGUCCGGCCGCGUCGCCGGCCUCCCGGAGCAGCCCAACUACCUCAAGGGCGCGCCGCAGCGCGACUACCAGAGGGCCGCCGCCGUCGCCGCCGCCAAACAAAAGGCGGAGGAGCUCCAGCGCCGGAUUCACGGCAUCCGCUGGCCCGCCUUCGUCAAGCCCGUGACCCACGACUGCGCCAGCAGGGCAGCCGUGAUGACAAUCCCCAAGCACUU